AACGAACGCUGGCGGCAUGCCUAAUACAUGCAAGUCGAACGAGACCUUUAGGUCCAGUGGCGCACGGGUUUGUCACGCGUGGGAAUCUGCCCUUGGGUUCGGACUAACUGUGAGACAUUGCUGCCAAUACCGGAUCAUGUCUUCGGACCAAAGAUUUAUCGCCCAGGGAUGUGCCCGCGUAGGAUAAGCUAGUUGUUUGGGUAAUGGCCUACCAAGGCGACGAUCCUUAGCUGGGCUGAGAGGAUGAUCAGCCACACUGGGACUGAGACACGGCCCAGAAUCCUACGGGAGGCAGCAGUGGGGAAUAUAGGACAAUGGGGGCAAGGCUGAUCCAGCAAUGCCGGGUGAGUGAUGAAGGCCGUAGGGUUGUAAUGCUCUUUUACCAGGGAUGAUAUUGACAGUACCUGAAGAAUAAGCCCCGGCUAACUACGUG
rnacentral:rRNA from 1 species